rnacentral:tRNA from 1 species
CGGGACGUAGCGUAGCCCGGUUUAGCGCACUAGUCUGGGGGGCUAGGGGUCGCCGGUUCGAAUCCGGCCGUCCCGA